AUUGAACGCUGGCGGCAGGCCUAACACAUGCAAGUCGAGCGGAUGAAGGGAGCUUGCUCCUGGAUUCAGCGGCGGACGGGUGAGUAAUGCCUAGGAAUCUGCCUGGUAGUGGGGGAUAACGUCCGGAAACGGGCGCUAAUACCGCAUACGUCCUGAGGGAGAAAGUGGGGGAUCUUCGGACCUCACGCUAUCAGAUGAGCCUAGGUCGGAUUAGCUAGUUGGUGGGGUAAAGGCCUACCAAGGCGACGAUCCGUAACUGGUCUGAGAGGCUGAUCAGUCACACUGGAACUGAGACACGGUCCAGACUCCUACGGGAGGCAGCAGUGGGGAAUAUUGGGCAAUGGGCGAAAGCCUGAUCCAGCCAUGCCGCGUGUGUGAAGAAGGUCUUCGGAUUGUAAAGCACUUUAAGUUGGGAGGAAGGGCAGUAAGUUAAUACCUUGCUGUUUUGACGUUACCAACAGAAUAAGCACCGGCUAACUUCGUG
rnacentral:rRNA from 1 species